GGCUUCGUAGCUCAGCCGGUGGAACGCUUGCCGUGUAAAGGCACGGCGUUUCUGUCGCUGGUUUGAAUCUAGCCGAAGUCC